AAGUUAUCAAAGCAGAGAGGAGGGUGCUAAAGGAGUUGGGAUUUUGUGUUCAUGUCAAGCAUCCUCAUAAGAUCAUUGUUAUGUAUUUACAAGUCUUAGAAUGUGAACGUAAUCAAACCCUGGUUCAAACUGCCUGGGUAGUCCAUGAUGGUAAGUCAUAGAACUCUGCCCUCUGCACUUCAGCCCAUGACCUCAGGAUGGCCUGAUUGGCUACCCUGCUCUCCAGCCAAUCCAGUGCAAGCUCUCAUCCGAGAUUCACUGAAGUGGUCCAUAUCCAUCUGGCAGCAUCUUCUAGUUCUGUCGGGGUGUCAAAAGGAUUUGUAUAUUUGCUUCUAGAAGUAACUAUUUGACAUGCCUAUGUAUUUAAUGUAUACUUGUAACUAUCAAAAUGAAUAGUUCAUUUUUGAUAGAUUUGUUGUGCAGCCAUUAUGAAUUAAAUGGUUUAUUAGGAGUUUGACUAAAUUUUUAUUUUUAGUGUGUAUAGCAUGAAUACUACCAAAGGAGACGACAAACUUGCAGCUUAAAAUGGGCACCAGUUCCCACACUGGCUUAAUUUAUAUAACUGCUUGGCUGUAUUGCGGGUAAUAAUAUUAGAAGCAAGAAGCACUUCAUUUUUAAAAGAGAUGUUACUAUAAUAUUGCUUAAAUGCUUUAGCACUUGGACUUCU
rnacentral:lncRNA from 1 species